rnacentral:rRNA from 1 species
GGGGGGGGGGGGGGGGGGGCUGGGGGGGGGCGGGGCGGACGGCGGCGGGGGCUUCGGCGUGGUGGCGGGUGGCGGACGGGUGGGUAAUAUAUCGGAACGUACCCAGGAGUGGGGGAUAACGUAGCGAAAGUUACGCUAAUACCGCAUACGAUCUAUGGAUGAAGGCAGGGUACCGCAAGGCCUGGUGCUCCUGGAGCGGCCGAUAUCUGGUUAGCUAGUUGGUGAGGUAAAGGCUCACCAAGGCGACGAUCAGUAGCUGGUCUGAGAGGACGACCAGCCACACUGGAACUGAGACACGGUCCAGACGCCUACGGGAGGCAGCAGUGGGGAAUUUUGGACAAUGGGCGCAAGCCUGAUCCAGCAAUGCCGCGUGAGUGAAGAAGGCCUUCGGGUUGUAAAGCUCUUUUGUCAGGGAAGAAACGGUAGAGGCUAAUAUCCUUUGCUAAUGACGGUACCUGAAGAAUAAGCACCGGCUAACUACGU